GACGAACGCUGGCGGCGUGCUUAACACAUGCAAGUCGAACGGAAAGGCCCUGCUUUUGUUGGGUGCUCGAGUGGCGAACGGGUGAGUAACACGUGAGUAACCUGCCCUUGACUUUGGGAUAACUUCAGGAAACUGGGGCUAAUACCGGAUAGGAGCUCCUGCUGCAUGGUGGGGGUUGGAAAGUUUCGGCGGUUGGGGAUGGACUCGCGGCUUAUCAGCUUGUUGGUGGGGUAGUGGCUUACCAAGGCUUUGACGGGUAGCCGGCCUGAGAGGGUGACCGGCCACAUUGGGACUGAGAGACGGCCCAGACUCCUACGGGAGGCAGCAGUGGGGAAUAUUGCACAAUGGGCGGAAGCCUGAUGCAGCAACGCCGCGUGCGGGAUGACGGCCUUCGGGUUGUAAACCGCUAUCGCCUGUGACGAAGCGUGAGUGACGGUAAUGGGUAAAGAAGCACCGGCUAACUACGUG
rnacentral:rRNA from 1 species